UGUGUUUCCGGGACGGAUUACGCAGUGACGGACGCCGCUCACAAGAAAUGAUGGAUAUUUCAGAUUCAUUUCUGGAUGAACCAAAAAUGUACUACUGUAUAACCUCAACAGGCUGCAGUCCUCGUCCUCCUCGUCUUCCUCUUCCUCCUCGUCGCCGUCCUCCUCACUGGUCUUCUCCGGUUUGUCGCGAUGGUGGUGAAGCUCGAUAAGCACGUAGUACAGGACCGCUGCGACCACACCCCCCACCAUGGGCCCCGCCACUGGGAUCCACCACCAGUGGCCUGCCGUGCUGCACGGAGGGGACAGAAUGAUAGGUGAUACUCAGGCCACAGAGAUGGAAGCACGGUUGGACUCACGACAACAAUCGACCGUGCCUGUUGCUGCCAUGAACUGGACUGGUGAGCAUCACGCUUUCAUUGUGGAAACGUUUAUCAAAACGAACAAAUCUGUAACUGCAACACAACGAGCGUUCCAUUUGCACUUCAAUCUUGGUAGACAUGAUCCCGUACCAGCUCGAAACACCAUCUUGUUAUGGGUUACCAACUUCAGAGCUACUGGAUCUGCAUUGAGUGUGUGGACAAUAAUGGAUCCCAUUUGGUUUGGUUUGGUUUGGUUUGGUUUAGUUUUUUGAACAUGAAGGUUACAAUGGAAUACAUCUCAUGAAUCAUUCUUUGACAGUUCCACAUGUCCAAAAGGAGUAGGAAGAAGCAAAGCUUAUUUGACUUUGACUGAUUUAAUUUUUAAAACAUAAUGAAACAGAAUGGUAUUAUAUGUACUUUUCGAAAAUAAAAACACUUUCUUGUUUCUUUA